rnacentral:rRNA from 1 species
AUUGAACGCUGGCGGCAGGCUUAACACAUGCAAGUCGAACGAGUGGCGGACGGGUGAGUAAUGCGUGGGAAACUGGCUGAUGGAGGGGGAUCACUACUGGAAACGGUAGCCAAUACCGCAUACCAUCGGAUGUGCCCAGAUGGGAUUAGCGAGUGGGCGGGGUAACGGCUCACCUAGGCGACGAUCGCUAGCUGGUCGGAGAGGAUGACCAGCCACACUGGACCUGAGCAACGGCCCAGACUCCUACGGGAGGCACCAGUGGGGAAUAUUGCACAAUGGGGGCAAGCCGGAGGCAGCCAUGCCGCGGGGAUGAAGAAGGCCUUCGGGUUGUAAAGUCCUUUCAGCGGGGAGGCGUUACCCGCAGAGGAAGCACCGGCUAACUCCGUGCCAGCAGCCGCGGUAAUAC